rnacentral:rRNA from 1 species
AGAGUUUGAUCCUGGCUCAGGAUGAACGCUGGCGGCGUGCCUAAUACAUGCAAGUCGAGCGAACAGAUAAGGAGCUUGCUCCUUUGAAGUUAGCGGCGGACGGGUGAGUAACACGUGGGUAACCUACCUAUAAGACUGGGAUAACUUCGGGAAACCGGAGCUAAUACCGGAUAACAUUUAGAACCGCAUGGUUCUAAAGUGAAAGAUGGUUUUGCUAUCACUUAUAGAUGGACCCGCGCCGUAUUAGCUAGUUGGUAAGGUAACGGCUUACCAAGGCGACGAUACGUAGCCGACCUGAGAGGGUGAUCGGCCACACUGGAACUGAGACACGGUCCAAACUCCUACGGGAGGCAGCAGUAGGGAAUCUUCCGCAAUGGGCGAAAGCCUGACGGAGCAACGCCGCGUGAGUGAUGAAGGGUUUCGGCUCGUAAAACUCUGUUAUUAGGGAAGAACAAAUGUGUAAGUAACUGUGCACAUCUUGACGGUACCUAAUCAGAAAGCCACGGCUAACUACGUG